rnacentral:lncRNA from 1 species
AACAUUGAAGAUGUCGAUUUUGUUCAAAGCAGUGAGCUGUUUAUCUAUUACAAUGCAAAGCAGCAGCUCGGUCAAGAAUGUCUCCAAAUUAACACUCGUACAGUAGCACGCGCGAAAACACAGUGGGAGAGUCAGAGCAAGUCACAGUAUAUCAGACGAAGGAGAUGGCAAAAGGGUCACAAAGAGUAGUCCACAUAAUAGGGUUCUAAUAAAGAGGGGAUGUCACAACUUUGUCUUAGUAUUGAGCUUUUCAGAAAAAUUUCUUUUAAAUCUUUAUAUUGUUAGGUAUUCUGAC